rnacentral:rRNA from 1 species
UACGAAGGGGGCGAGCGUUGUUCGGAUUUACUGGGCGUAAAGGGCGCGCAGGCGGUCUUGAAAGUCAGGCGUGAAAGCCCCGGGCUUAACCUGGGAAUUGCGCUUGAUACUCUGAGACUGGAGUACGGGAGAGGAGAGUGGAAUUCCCAGUGUAGAGGUGAAAUUCGUAGAUAUCCGGAGGAAUACCAAAGGCGAAGGCAGUGUCCUGGGGAGUGUCUGACACUCAGGCGCGAAAGCUAGGGGAGCGAACAGG